rnacentral:rRNA from 1 species
UACGUAGGGUGCGAGCGUUGUCCGGAAUUAUUGGGCGUAAAGGGCUCGUAGGCGGCGCGGUAAGUCGGGUGUGAAAUCUUGGAGCUUAACUCCGAAACUGCAUUCGAUACUGCCGUGCUUGAGGACUGGAGAGGAGACUGGAAUUUACGGUGUAGCGGUGAAAUGCGUAGAUAUCGUAAGGAAGACCAGUGGCGAAGGCGGGUCUCUGGACAGUUCCUGACGCUGAGGCACGAAGGCCAGGGGAGCAAACAGG